AGAGUUUGAUCAUGGCUCAGAACGAACGCUGGCGGCGUGCCUAAUACAUGCAAGUCGCACGUGAAAUCCCGAGCAAUCGGGAGAGUAAAGUGGCAAACGGGUGAGUAACACGUAAGCAAUCUACCUUCAAAUCUGGAAUAACCCUGCCAACGCGGGGCUAAUGCCUGAUGCAAUGUUGAUAUCGCAUGAUGUUGACAUUAAAGAUGACCUCUAUUUAUAAGUUAUCGUUUGAAGAUGAGCUUGCGGCCCAUUAGCUAGUUGGCGGGGUAAUGGCCCACCAAGGCUAUGAUGGGUAUCCGGCCUGAGAGGGUGUACGGACACAUUGGGACUGAGAUACGGCCCAGACUCCUUCGGGAGGCAGCAGUAGGGAAUUUUGCGCAAUGGACGUAAGUCUGACGCAGCAACGCCGCGUGAGUGAUGAAGGUCUUCGGAUUGUAAAGCUCUGUUGAGUGGGAAGAAAAGUUACGGUUCUAAUAAAACCGGAGCCUGACGGUACCGCUCGAGGAAGGACCGGCUAACUACGUGCCAGCAGCCGCGGUAAUACGUAGGGUCCAAGCGUUGUUCGGAAUCACUGGGCGUAAAGGGAGCGUAGGCGGAGCCGUAAGUUAGGAGUGUAAUACCCGGGCUUAACCCGGGCCUUGCUUUUAAUACUGCGGUUCUUGAGUUUGGAAGAGGGAGAUGGAAUUCCAGGUGUAGCGGUGGAAUGCGUAGAUAUCUGGAAGAACACCAGUAGCGAAGGCGGUCUCCUGGUCCUAUACUGACGCUGAGGCUCGAAAGUUAGGGGAGCAAACAGGAUUAGAUACCCUAGUAGUCC
rnacentral:rRNA from 1 species